UACGAAGGGGGGCUAGCGUUGCUCGGAAUUACUGGGCGUAAAGGGCUCGUAGGCGGCCAACUAAGUCAGACGUGAAAUCCCUCGGCUUAACCGGGGAACUGCGUCUGAUACUGGAUGGCUUGAAUCCGGGAGAGGGAUGCGGAAUUCCAGGUGUAGCGGUGAAAUGCGUAGAUAUCUGGAGGAACACCGGUGGCGAAGGCGACAUCCUGGACCGGUAUUGACGCUGAGUGAGCGAAAGCCAGGGGAGCAAACGGG
rnacentral:rRNA from 1 species